rnacentral:piRNA from 1 species
UGGAUUCAAAGAAUAAACUGGGUAUGAGU